rnacentral:rRNA from 1 species
UACGGGGGGAGCAAGCGUUGUUCGGAUUUACUGGGCGUAAAGGGCGCGUAGGCGGCCACCGCAAGUCAGUUGUGAAAUCUCCGAGCUUAACUCGGAAAGGUCAACUGAUACUGCGGGGCUAGAGUGCGGAAGGGGCAACUGGAAUUCUUGGUGUAGCGGUGAAAUGCGUAGAUAUCAAGAGGAACACCUGCGGCGAAGGCGGGUUGCUGGGCCGACACUGACGCUGAGACGCGAAAGCGUGGGGAGCGAACAGG